rnacentral:rRNA from 1 species
GGACCCGCACAAGCAGCGGAGCAUGUGGUUUAAUUCGAAGCAACGCGAAGAACCUUACCAAGGCUUGACAUCCCCCUGACAGGCCCGUAACGGGGGCCCUCCUUCGGGCAGGGGAGACAGGUGGUGCAUGGUUGUCGUCAGCUCGUGUCGUGAGAUGUUGGGUUAAGUCCCGCAACGAGCGCAACCCUUGCCGUUAGUUGCCAUCAGCCAGGCUGGGCACUCUAACGGGACUGCCGGGGACAACUCGGAGGAAGGUGGGGAUGACGUCAAAUCAUCAUGCCCCUUAUGUCUUGGGCUACACACGUGCUACAAUGGCCGGUACAAUGGGAGGCAAUAUGGCGACAUGGAGCAAAAUCACCAAAACCGGUCCCAGUUCGGAUUGCAGGCUGAAACCCGCCUGCAUGAAGCCGGAGUUGCUAGUAAUCGUGAAUCAGAAUGUCA